GAAAUGCGAGAAGUAAUGUGAAUUGCAGAAUUCAGUGAAUCAUCGAAUCUUUGAACGCAUCUUGCGCUCCUUGGUAUUCCUUGGAGCAUGCCUGUUUGAGUAUCAUGAAAUCUUCAAAGUAAAUCUUUUGUUAACUCAAUUGGUUUCUACUUUGGUAUUGGAGGUCUUUGCAGCUUCACACCUGCUCCUCUUUGUUCAUUAGCUGGAUCUCAGUGUUAUGCUUGGUUCCACUCGGCGUGAUAAGUUAUCUAUCGCUGAGGACACUGUAAAAGGUGGCCAAGGUAAAUGCAGAUGAACCGCUUCUAAUAGUCCAUUGACUUGGACAAUACUUUUAUGAUCUGAUCUCAAAUCAGGUAGGACUACCCGCUGAACUUAAGC
rnacentral:misc_RNA from 1 species